UGGGGAAUUUUGGACAAUGGGGGCAACCCUGAUCCAGCCAUGCCGCGUGCGGGAAGAAGGCCUUCGGGUUGUAAACCGCUUUUAUUCGGGAAGAAGGAGUUCGGGUUAAUACCCUGGAUGACGGACGGUACUGGAUGAAUAAGCACCGGCUAACUACGUGCCAGCAGCCGCGGUAAUACGUAGGGUGCGAGCGUUAAUCGGAAUUACUGGGCGUAAAGCGUGCGCAGGCGGUUCUGAAAGUCAGCUGUGAAAGCCCCGGGCUUAACCUGGGAACUGCGGUUGAAACUACAGGACUAGAAUCUGGCAGAGGGGGGUGGAAUUCCACGUGUAGCAGUGAAAUGCGUAGAGAUGUGGAGGAACACCGAUGGCGAAGGCAGCCCCCUGGGCUGAGAUUGACGCUCAGGCACGAAAGCGUGGGGAGCAAACAG
rnacentral:rRNA from 1 species